rnacentral:rRNA from 1 species
CCUAUGGGCGGCAGCAGUGAGGAAUAUUGGUCAAUGGGCGGGAGCCUGAACCAGCCAAGUCGCGUGAAGGAAGAAGGUACUUAGUAUUGUAAACUUCUUUUGUCGGGGAACCAAGGCGGAGACGCGUCUCCGGAUGAGUGUACCCGAAGAAAAAGCAUCGGCUAACUCCGGGCCAGCAGCCGCGGUAAUACGGAGGAUCCGAGCGUUAUCCGGAUUUAGUGGGUUUAAAGGGAGCGUAGAUGGGUUGUUAAGUCAGUUGUGAGAGUUUGCGGCUCAACCGUAAAAUUGCAAUUGAUACUGGCAGCCUUGAGUACAGUUGAGGUAGGCGGAAUUCGUGGUGUAGCGGUGAAAUGCUUAGAUAUCACGAAGAACUCCGAUUGCGAAGGCAGCUUACUAAACUGCCACUGACAUUGAUGCUCGAAAGUGUGGGUAUCAAACAGGAUUAGAUACCCCAGUAGUC